ACGGGUGAGUAAUGCCUAGGAAUCUGCCUGGUAGUGGGGGACAACGUUUCGAAAGGAACGCUAAUACCGCAUACGUCCUACGGGAGAAAGCAGGGGACCUUCGGGCCUUGCGCUAUCAGAUGAGCCUAGGUCGGAUUAGCUAGUUGGUGAGGUAAUGGCUCACCAAGGCGACGAUCCGUAACUGGUCUGAGAGGAUGAUCAGUCACACUGGAACUGAGACACGGUCCAGACUCCUACGGGAGGCAGCAGUGGGGAAUAUUGGACAAUGGGCGAAAGCCUGAUCCAGCCAUGCCGCGUGUGUGAAGAAGGUCUUCGGAUUGUAAAGCACUUUAAGUUGGGAGGAAGGGCAGUAAGCGAAUACCUUGCUGUUUUGACGUUACCGACAGAAUAAGCACCGGCUAACUCUGUGCCAGCAGCCGCGGUAAUACAGAGGGUGCAAGCGUUAAUCGGAAUUACUGGGCGUAAAGCGCGCGUAGGUGGUUUGUUAAGUUGAAUGUGAAAGCCCCGGGCUCAACCUGGGAACUGCAUCCAAAACUGGCAAGCUAGAGUACGGUAGAGGGUGGUGGAAUUUCCUGUGUAGCGGUG
rnacentral:rRNA from 1 species